AAUAAAUAAAAUGGCUGAGAUUAAGCGAUAAAUUGUAAAUUUAUUUACGAGAAAAUUCUCUUUUAUUA
rnacentral:tRNA from 14 species